AACGCAUCUUGCGCUCUUUGGUAUUCCGAAGAGCAUGCCUGUUUGAGUGUCAUGAAACUCUCACCUCCAGCCUUCUUUAAUUAGAGGUGUUGGGGCGUGGACGUGAGUGCUGCUGGUGCCCUGGUUGCAUCGGCUCACUUGAAAUAUGUUAGCUGACUCCUCUAGAGGUGGUUCUACUCGACGUGAUAAGAUCUCCGUCGAGGACAGUGCAACUUGUUGUGCUGGCCGCUCCUAGCAGUUGACGUCGCUUCUAAUUAGCGCAGACUUCGAGUGCUGGCAACUUUUGACAACUUGGCCUCAAAUCAGGUAGGACUACCCACUGAACUUAA
rnacentral:misc_RNA from 3 species